CCGAUCUAUCUCUCUAUCUCUCUUAAAUACAUAUCAUAAUAAAUAAUUUAAAUCACAUAAACUAAAUCAAUAUUUCAAAAUAAAAAAAUAUAAAAUAAAAAUAUAAUUUUAUUACAUAAAAAUUAAAUAUAAAAAAUAAAAAUUUAUUUACAAAUUUUAUCAUAUUUUUAAAUUAAAAAAAUUUAACUACAUAAAAAUUUAACUACAUAUCAAAAUCUUUAACUCCAUAUUUUUUUUUCAAAAUCUAAAAUAAUAAAAUAAAAUUUUUAUUCUGCUUUUGUUCAUGUUCUUUCUCCCCGCUUCCGUUGCUGUUUGCCCGAUGCUUGCUGCUGUCC
rnacentral:lncRNA from 1 species